GGCCGGCCAGCAUUUAACGGACACUGAUGCUGUGGAUAUAUCUUCAUGGAUGUCUCUCCUGAGUUUUUGACAGCUGACAGCUUUACUCUCAGGACAUUAUUCGGCCGACAACCAGGACCUGCUAAUGAAGUUAGGUGAGGCAGGUGUAAUGGUGACUGAAGUCGAAGCCCAGAGAUUCAGAGGUAACAGCAGUGUAAUGGUUCUCAAUCUGGCUUGAGGGAAAUCCCUACUGUCUAAACUCUACCUGGAAGCAAGACCAGAGGCUCUCACAGAGGAUCUACCAGAUAUCGACUUAAGAGCAACCCUCAUCUUUCUGCCACACAUCUUCAAGGAGAACAUUGAGUGCUUUAUUAUAAAGUUCCUGCCACUCCAUACUCAACUAUCCAGUUGACGGAUGAAGACUUGAAAAUGGCCUUCACUAGGAGAGCUCCGAAUGUUGUGAAAGUGGACGGCAUCGAGUCACAGCUCAGCAAUUGACGAGGGAAUGUUUUGGCAAAUCAAGUACAUUUUGAACAUCGAUACCUUGUGGAUUCUUUAUGGUAAAAUGUUGGUUCCUCUGUCACUUUCAUGCAUAAAGUGUAAAGGUUGAUUGAGAAUGGACUUUACUAAAACCAGGUGAUGAAAUGGACUACCGAAUAUUUGACACUUAUUCUGUGGAUAACAGUUUUAUGUCACACUUCAACAUAGUAUUUAAAAAUGUACAAAAUUGACAAAAUCAUGUGAAAAUCUUAGAUCUUCUGUCAUGAGUGUUAUUUUCAUUUAUGCAGUUUUAAGGUUGGUGGAGAAUGGACUUGCUGGCAAUGGACAAUUUUACAUUGUUUAGUGUAGAUGAUAUAAAGUUGAAUACACAGUUUUUUGACAAAAUUCAUAGCAAAGCUCAGUAAAAGAGUUUUGGGAAGUUUAACACAUAAUAGAGCACGAACUUGAAAUUGUUUUUACACCCGGUUACUAAAUGAGGCCGGUCAUUAAUAGGGGC